CUUCAGGGCGCCGAGGAGCAGCGGCCGGUCGGCGGGGCGGCCCUGGCCGUAGGUGGCGAGGAGUGCCUGCGCCUC
rfam:Streptomyces silvensis strain ATCC 53525 53525_Assembly_Contig_61, whole genome shotgun sequence.